rnacentral:lncRNA from 1 species
GCCAAAUACAACACUCGCUUUAAGACUCCAAAGACUAGCUUGUGGCCAAGCAUCAAUCAGCACAAGCCUUUUCCUCCAAAGGAUUCAGGCUGGUAUUCAUUAGACGAUCAAGUUCUAUACAGGUUCUCUUGACCUGGUGGCCCUGCUUCUGCUGUUCUGCUGUUCUGCUACUGUAGCCUGCUAUCCAAGCAAAUUUGGGGAAGUGCUCUGCUUUUCAAAGGCUCCACAAGGUUGACCUUUGUAGACUCCUUCAAUGGAAUAUCUUACAUCUGAAUUCUAUGGUUCUAGUGCAGAAAAUGAGGCCUCCAGAAAGAGAUUAGAAAGAGAAGAGUGGGGUAAAGUUAUUCAUGAAUCAUAGGAAAAAUAUGGUAGCACUAUUUUCAAAGUUGAAGAAAGGAAUACAGAGUAGAGUACAACAGAUACAAGAUGUCCAACCUUGUGAUCCAGCCAGGAAUGCAGCCUGGCUCACACAGAAUGUGACCAUUAGAACAAGCAAGAGAUGGACUGCAAAUCAAUGAAUAGGAAAUACCCACAGGAAGGCCUUGAGCUCAUGGCAGUGAAAUUUAACAACACAGCUUCUGCCCUUCCUCAAGUUGCCUCCACCUUCUAGAACCUUCUCCAGUCUGCCUCAUCUUCUGGCUAACCUUGCCUUGAGUCUCAACGAGGUAGGUAUUGGCAUCUUCAUUUCACAGGUAGGAAAACAGAGGCUGAGUAGUUCCAAAAUUUUGUCUGUCGACAACACUAUCUAAUUCUAAAGCUUAGUUCCCUUUAUUGCAAAGCAGGCGUGAAAACACAGACUUCUACUUCAAAAAAAGUUCACGGUGAAUUCUCAGUGAGCUGGGGUUAUUCAAAGGAGGCAGAAGACAAGAAGGCUGCAUAAAGUGAUUGAAAUGGGGAAGAUUCUGGAAAGUGGGGAUGAUUUCAGGGUGACAAAUGAUAUUGGUAGAAAAUCUUGGAGCAUGUUGUGAGUGUGCCUGGUCUGAAGUAUCUUCAAGGGUAUUAAGAGAAAUAAAAGGGUAUACUAUGGGAGCAACUUGAAUGUUUGCCCAGGGGAGUUUGGACAAGGGGAUUCUAGUGAGCAGAGGCUAGUGAUAGCCGUGCGU